UUUCUUUGAGUCAGGAGUCAUCGCAGGGAAGAGCUCAGCCACGAGGUUUGGAGUCGGGGGUGUUUGUGGAGGCUGUCUGGUUCCUGGCUUGCCUUUUUAAAUUUAGGAGGCUUGCGUGCGCUCAUUGCUUUACUGCUUUUAAAAACCUGGGCACCCAAGUUUGCCUUGCUGUCUUGCUGUGCCCUCUUUUCUGUGUAAAAACCCACAUUUAACCUUUUAUUUUCCCCCACUCCUGGUGCUGGAUUUGUUUGGGCGGUUUAAGUGCGAAUUACCUUUCUUAAGCCGCAGCUUGUUCCCUUGCCCAGCACGUGGUCUCUCCACCCCCAGUGAGGUCUGAGUGUGAGUGCCGUCUUUCUAGCUCCCUCGUCUCCUCACUUUCCUUCCCCUGCCUCUGCCUUGGUGGCUGUGCGUUUUAUUUUAAUUUUGGCCAGGGUGCCUGUAUGUUUUUCCUCUCUAUUGCCCUUGCCCGUCCGAUUGCCUGGCUGGUCUGGGUGACUGAGUGGGUUUGCCUUACAUUUUAAUUUGUUGGCCAGGGUGCUUGUAUGCUUUUCCCCUCCAUUGCCCUUGCCUGUUCCUCUCUAAUUUUAAGUCGUGUGCAUGUGUGCUGGCAGCGUGUGUUUGUGCCUGCCGUUUGUUGAUUUAUUACUCUUUUUAGCGUGGGUUUAAUUUACCCUGCCAUCCCUUCCAUUGGUACCACUUAAAUUGGGAGCCCCCUGUGAAAUUUUAAAGGAUGCCGGGGCUUAGAAUAGACUGUGCGCUUAAACCUCACCCCUCUUACUUUAUCUAAGCCAUCCCCCCUCUUCGCUUGGCGUUUGGGGGAAGAAAUAAGGCAGGGCUUGGGGCGGACAAUUCAGGGUUUCUGAUCAGGGAACCAUUCCUCAGCAUUGCACAUUUAUACGUUUAGAACCUUUGAAGGUGUGCCUUUGCCUGGUUCUUGUCAUUGGCUUCUCUUGCCAGUACAGUGGUACCUCGCAAGACGAAUGCCUCGCAAGACAAAAAACUCGCUAGGCGAAAGGGUUUUUUGUUUUUUGAGCUGCUUCGCAAGACGAUUUUCCCUAUGGGCUUGCUUCGCAAGACGGAAACGUCUUGCAAGUUUGUUUCCUUUUUCUUAACACCGUUAAUACAGUUGCGACUUGACUUCGAGGAGCAACUCAUAGAGCGUUGUGUGGUAGCCUUUUUUGAGGUUUUUAAAGACUUUGGUGAUUUUUGAAGCUUUCCCAAAACUUUCCCCACACCGUGCUUCGCAAGACGAAAAAAAUCGCAAGACGACAAAACUCGCGGAACGAAUUAAUUUCGUCUUGCGAGGCACCACUGUACAGGGUCCCUAAAGAAAACCGCUUUUAAACAACAACAGCAAAAAGGUUGCGGCUUAUAGAACCUUACUGAAAAGUCCAGGCUAACCCACGGUUUAUAUUUCCACUUCAUUUUGGCUCACUGUAAAGGACAGCUAUUUUCCUUUUCUUCUAAACUUUUCCUUGCCCGGCGUGUUCAUUUUACCCCCUCCUCCCUCCCAGCUCCCCUCCAUGCUUUCCUUCUCCUCCCUCCACCCCUCCUCCCUCCCAACACCCCCCCCCACUCUUUCAGAGUUCCCUUUGCUUCUUCUUUUUUUUAAAAAAAAUAUUUAUUCAAAUUUUAAGAUUACAGAAAAAGAAAAAAGUAAAAAAAGAAAAACAAAUCACAUACAUCCUACAAGAAAAACACACAAUACAAAGAAAAAUACACAAGACAGAAAAUCACAGUAAAAAAAUAACAAAAGAAAAAUUCAACUUAAACCAUUAAAACCGUUUUCCCAUUUACUUAUUUCCGUGACUUCCUCUCACUUCUCUGCUUUGUAUUCUAAUUCAAAUCGUAUCUCCAGCAAAUCCUUCUAACCUUCUUUUCAUUUGCUUAUUUUAACAUUCAAAAAUAUUUAAUUCUCCUCUAUCUUUUAUUUUACACUUCAUAUUUACUUAUUCCAUUAUACUCUGUCUGCCAAUACUCUGUCUACUCGUUGGGAAGCCCAAUACCAGCGAAGGUGCCUCCCUUCUGGAGGCCUUUUCAGCUUUGGCCCAGGAGCUGGGAGUUCCCCUCACGGCAGAUAAGACGGACCCUCAAUGCAUCUUACUAACCUGGGUAUAGAGCUUGACACAGCAGCUCAUUCUGCCUGCCUGCCAGAGGGGAAAAUAGUUGCCCUUAAGGAAACAAUUCAUCAAACCCUUCCCAAAAUAAUAAUAAUAAUAAUAAUAAUAAUAAUAAUAAUAAAGUCGCUCUUAGACAGGUCCAGUCCUUGCUAGAUCAUUUCAACUUCACAUUUAGAGUAGUUUCAUCAGGCCGCGCAUUUUGCUCCCGCUUAGCCAGGCUUUCAGCGGGCCUCAAGCAUCCGCACCAUAGAGUAAGACUCCCCAAGUCAGUCAAGGCAGAUUUUGAGAUGUGGAUCAGAUUUCUGGAGCACUACAACGGAGUCUCCCUAUGGCAGGAAAUCCUUAAUUUGGCCUCUGAUUUCCAAGUCCACUCCAAUGCGGCAGGGUCCCUGGGCUUUGGACUGUUCGUUAAGGGAUGUUGGUGCGCGCAACAAUGGCCAGCAGAGUGGCAAGGGGAGGCCGUCAUGCGUGAUCUCACUUUUCUGGAGUUUUUUCUCAUAGUUGUGGCGGUUCGCAUAUGGACCGAGGAGUUCCGGAAUCGCUGGGUGUGCUUCAGAACUGAUAACCAGGCCGUGGUUAACAUACUGGCUAGCAGUCAUUGCGUUCUGAGAGGGGUCUUGCCUACUUCAAUCAUUUGUGCUCCGAUGCCUUGCUUCCGGUCGUUAGCACCUUGGGCUCAUCUGCUGCCAGAACCCUUUCCGGAUCACCUACGGAACCUUGGAGACGCGAAGUGAUCAAGGGAGUAUUAGCAUCUGUGGCACCCUCUACCCUCAGGUCUUAUAAGAAAGUAUGGUGCGACUUCACAGGUUUCAGGUCCAAAGUAUCGUCCCUUUCCCCUAUCGUAUGAAACUUAGGUCAAUUUGCUGGUCCAGGUUUGAGGCCCGGCUGUUCUCUGCAGCAUACGCUAUAGCCUUCUUUGGUGCCUUGUGGGUUGGCGUGGUGGUAGCAGAAGCUACCUCAAGUGGAACAACACGCAGCCUCCUCCUGGAGGACGUGCAGGUGUCCAGUUCAGGCGUGAUGGUGCGGGUGCAUCAGUCUAAGAUGGACCAGGGCGGUAAGGGCACCGUAAUACAACUCACGGCCUCCGGUCAGAAGGGCCCAUGCCCAGUAAAGGACACCAGGCGAUACCUUUACCUCAGACCUCCCGGCCUUGGCCCGCUCUUCAUUCAUGAGGAUGGAUCCCGAUUGAUGAGGCACCAGUUCACCAGGGUACUUUGCAAAGCGAUAGAUGCCUGCGCUUUCCCUUCCAAAAGACUACGCGGCACAUUCAUUUAGGAUUGGUGUGGCCACAAUGGCCUUAUGGGCCUUCCGGCAAACAGGAUCAAGGAGAUGGGCCGCUGGAAAUCUAAUGCCUACAAAAGUAUUCUGAGAACGCUCCGCUUACCUGUAUUUUCUUUCUUUAUUCUUAGCUGUCUUCGGUAGUCCAGUGUGGAUUUGCGGCCACAGUAUCGUGCAUUGGGCCCGCCUCCAGUCAGCAAGUUCCGGCUUCAUGCCUAAUCUGGGGCUACCAACGUGGGUGCGAGUUUCCUGGUUGUCGAGAAGGGGCAUGCGCUGGCAAGAACUCAUGCCACUGCUGAAGGCAAAAGCUGCACUGUUGGGCCCCCCUAACAUUCUAAUCAUUCAGCUGGGUGAGAGCGACCUGGCUAGCAGGAAGAGUGUGGACUUGCUGUGGAACAUGAGAAAGGUCUUGGAUGAGUUGGCUGCCUUAUUUCCCAGAACAACCCUGUUCUGGUCCUCUCUCUUGAAGAGAAAGGUUUGGCGCGGUGCGCAUAACAUUAUGGCCUUUGAGAAAUCCAGGAAACUCUUGAAUCGUGCGGUAGCGCGCAAAGUGCGUUUUAUGAAUGGCCUAGUUAUAUCUCAUGAUGAUAUCCAGAUUGGCGACCAGACCCUAUUCCGGGAUGACGGCGUUCACCUUUCAGAUUCCGGAAACAACAUAUGGCUGGCUAACAUAUCCAAUAGUCUUAGGGAUUGGUUGCAGCUGUGAAGGCAUUGGCGGCGAGCCUUUUGGCUCAGGUGGCAGUUAGGCAUUGGAAUGUGUUGUUGGUGUUUUGGGGGACAAGGUGUGGCCAUCGCCUUCCCCGACAAUUUUGGGUAUUCCGCUAAAGGAAUCCGGCGGUCGUGGAUCCUGUCCGAUGCCCGUGUGGCGGGGGGCCAUGGCACGACCCUCGGUGACAUCAGGAAGAGAGCCUAUAGUUGGAUUAGCAUCAACAGGCUUCCCUACUGGUGGUUAACCCCUCCUCAGACUCACCCCUCUACGAGUGGGUGGAGUCUAAUGUUCCGUGGUCCAAUGCCUAAGCCAAUACCUUCUCACAUGCUGUAAUCAAUAAAGUUGUGGCCUUUACCUUACCCAUUAACCUUACAUUCUGUGUCCACGUGUCUUUAUUCCCCAGCGGGGAUCGGGUCCUCGAAUCACAACUAGAACUAGUUACAGUGGUACCUUGGGAUUCGAACGGGAUCCGUUCCAGAGCCCCAUUCACAUCCCAAGCGGAAAGCAAGAUGCAACAGCACGUGUGCGCGGGUCACGUUUCGCCGCUUCCACGCAUGCGCGUGACGUCAUUUUGAGCGUCUGCGCAUGCGCGAGCAGCAAAACCCGGAAGUAGCGCGCUCCAUUACUUCUGGGUUGCCACGGAGCACAACUCGAACACGCUUAACUCGAAGCACAUUCAACUCGAGGUAUGACUGUACUAACAAUAGCUUUAUUUGCUAUGACUGUUUUAGCAAACUCUUCAGCAUACCUUUUGGGUGGUUUACCCAAAGUUUACCCUCUCUGCAGGGGCAGGGACUCAAUUGUGCCAUGUAGAAUUCAUCCCUGACUAACCUAGACUUUUGUUUUAGUUUAUUAUGCCAAAUUUGUUUCAUGUGUGGUAAUGGGAGGAAAUGCCACAAACAUUUAUGGAGCACACUAUGUUUCACAGGACCCAGUGCACUUUUAGUACAGCUCAGGAAGCCUUCAUGGAGGCAUAAUGCCUUCCCUAAAUGUAUUUGUUCUCUCUAAAUAAGCAAUAGUGUCUCAGGACUUUAACCAUGGGGUGAUCUCCUAAGCACCCUCAUUUAAAUUAAUGGGUAUAUUCUGAGUAUGGCUUAGAUAUCACCGAUAAUUUGUGUGCAGUGAGAUUCCCUCCUUUAAUUUUUUUUUUUUAUACGUGGAUAUAUUAUGUUAAAAAAAAAUAAUCAUACCAUUCUAAAUGAAGUUAAACACUUCUGACCAAUCCCAAGCUAUUUUAAAGCAGUACAAAAAUACUAUGAGGAAAAAUGAAAAUGUUUUUGACAUGUAUUUCUUGGAGAUUAUGGUCCUGAAUGAUCAGUGCCAGCCUUUCCCAACUUGACUCUCCCUCCCAGAUGUUUUGUGCUGGCUGGGGCUGAUGGGAGCUGUAGUCCAAGACACCUGGAGGGCGCUAGGUUGGGGAGACUGGCUUGUGCCAUUUAAACAGCACCAUAUAUGGUAGCCAAGCCUGCUCCUUUUGUUCUUCCACAGAAAGCACAGCUCGAUCAAGCAGUAAACUACCAUACGGAGUCCUGCUGCUGCUGCUGCUCUCGAUGUUUCCUGCCUUUGUUCUGGAAAAUGACAAGCCCGUAUUGUUUUUCAGCUGAGGAAAGAGCAGCACUGCACACACCUUGAGCCAAGCUGCUAGCAUUAAUCACACCAAUCACAUUACCCCAAACCCGUGUGGAUAAAGUGACACCGCCCUGCAGCGAGAGCUGCAAAAAGCGGCAGGCCCAACCAAUUUGGCUAAGCCUUGCACAAUGGCACAAAUGUCCUUCCUUCAGCGAAAAAACGAAGGUUGAAAAUAAGUCUGCCUUCCAGAGGGGGGCCCUGCUGCAGCACUUUGCUGCCGGCAUGUGACACAAGCGGGAGUACAUUAAGAGCAGCACUUGAUUACAGCAGUGUCAAGCUGCGCUCAAAGGCUCAGUUCUUUCAGCAUUUGCUGUGGCGGUAAUGACCGUUGCUCGUGUCUCCGAGAGGCAUGCGGCGGUCAACGAGGUCUUCUGUAACGCUUCCAGGUAGUGCCCAUCCUAAAUUACCGCACUUGCUAAUUAAGUGGCUGGGCACUGUUAUUCUGGCUAUAUCCCAGGUUCCCCUCAAGACCCUAGUUAUCUAUUAACUUUGCACUGUGUCUGGUUUGUACCAGUUCUUCUGGCAGCAACCAGCCUGAAUGGCAAAGUCGUCACUUGAUGCCGUGGCCAUUUUAAAACCCUGACUUACUGGGGGAAGGGCUGUGGCUCAGGGGCACAGCACCUGCGUGCUUUGCAGGCCCAGGGUCCCAAGUUCAAGCCUGACAUCUCCAGGUAGGGCUGGGAGCCUUUUCUGUCUGAAAUCCUGGAGAGUUUCUGCCAGUCACUGCUAGACAGACCAAAACAGCCUGACUCUCUGCAUAAGGAAGCACCCUGUGUUCCUUUGUUUUGUGCUUUAAAUAAAUAGUGUUUAUGCAGCCCAAUAUACAUUUUAACAUCAGAUAUACUAUUAUGAAAGGGGAGGGGGGAGAGAGACCUCCCAACCCAAUAAAUUAAUGAAUGUCAGACUUUAGCUAAUAUUUGGGAUAUUGAAUGAAGGGGGGAAAUAUAGGCUGCAGUAGUUCUCUUGAACUCUGCCAAAGGAAAUUCCUGGGUUUAGCCUAUGCAAACUAGGCUAGCUGGGCUGGUUGAAUGUAGAACAUUAUGAAUCAAUGGCCAAGCAUUUGCACAUCAAAGAAGAUGUUCAGGUCUGUGCAAAAACAGAGGCUGCCAAGAAACCAUGCCUACCCUUGUGGAUGGCAGGAUCCAGAAUCAAUCUAGAUUGAAAGGAUGAGUUCAAAUGAUUCCAAAUUGAGAAAAAAAGUGUGUGUGGUUUUUUUAAUUCUACAAGUGGGCUAGGGUGUAAACAGCCUGAAUUCUUACUGAAUUCUGGAGCAUUUAAAGGAUUGUGGAUUUGGACAGGGAAAUUCUGUUCAAUUAUAUGGGCUACAAACUCCCCCACCCUUUAAAUGAUGGUUUGUUUGUGGCUUUGUAGGUAACUCUCCUUCAGUGCAAUAGGCAAUAAUGACAACAAUAUUUCUUCAGGUCAAUUACAGUGGCUUGGGCCACAUCUGAAGUUGAACUAGGCAAUGACUACAGUAUACUUAGCCGAGUGGUCAGUUACUUCACCACAUAAUGCCACAUAAAAGAACUUUUAAUGUUGAAAGCAUGGAUGGGGAUGAGGAAGUUGAACUGAAGCAACUUUGCAAAAACAGACAUUCUGAAGUAAAGAUGUGCAGCCUUCCAAAAUAAAGGCUGCUUUUCCCAAUUGUUUUCUUCUCCCCUAACUCAGGAGCCAAGAGGGCAAAACCAAAACAACAUAAAAUAAAAUAAAAUACCCAUAACGAUGUUAAAACCUCAGGUUAUUCUUGCUUGUCAAUGCAAGGUGAUUUCAACAAAACCAAAGAGCUUCACAAGGAACUACUUGAAGUUUGCUCCUUGUCACACCAGCCAACCAAUUAAAUUCAUUUCAGGGACCAUUUAGAGUGAGAUGGAGGAUUCAAUUAGAGUGUUCUGGCCACGAUUCAGUGUUCUCCAUUUUCUCACAGAAAAGAGGGGUCCAAAGAAUAAUGGGCUGCUGCAGCCAUCUUAAGUGAAGGGGAGAUAUGUAAGAGUCAACAAAAACGAAACAAAGGAGAGCAGCACCAGCUUCCAAAAUCAACAAACCAAGUAAGCAAAAAAGGUGCGAAAACUAUUUAUUGAAGAACUUCAAAAUAUUUGUUCUGCCUGAUGUGCUUCGCAUAAAUGUAGUCAGCAGAGCACAUUCCUCAUGCAGUAGAUAUGUGUCAGGGAACUGCCAUCGGAAGGAAGGGAGGUGAAAGGACUCAGACAGGUUGGAAGAGACUCAGCAGCUGAAGAGGGAACCAGCAAGGGGAGAGAAGCUGAACUGAGGGAGGUGAAAGGGCUCAGACAGGUUGGAAGAGACUCAGCAGCUGAAGAGGAAACCAGCAGGGGAGAGAAGCUGAACUGAGGGAAAGGGAGCUGGGGGAUGGCUCAGAGAUACUUCCAGCGAAAACAGUGGUGAGGUUUCCGGACCUCCUGUAGGGACACCCACUCCUCGCCGGAAACUGUCACGCAGAGAGUCCAGAAGACGUGUUUCCGUUAAGGAGCUUUUAUGUUGGAAGCGAUUACGAAAGCAACCACUGUCGGAAUCUUCUAGUGACUAGAGGAGCCAUGUCAGAGGGGCUCCGUCACAGACAGAGGUUUGUGGACUUGAACAAACACUGAGGGAAUACGAUUUUACGCACAAGCAGCUCAUCUUCCCAUCACAGCAUUCCGACAGUCUCUGAACGCAGCUUGUGCAGGAGAAGGCAUAAUGAGCAACCCAGCAGGAACCGGAGAAGCAGGGGCUGGAGCGGGUCCAAGCCUGGAAGAAAGGUACCGGGUGUUGGAGGUCCAGCUGGCGCUGCAGACGGCGAGGCUGGAGGAGAGGAGGGCUCAAGAUGCAGACAAAGGGAGAAAGCCACCCAGCUCGCCAGAAAGGUACCAGGAUUGGUGCAGAAAUUUGGGGGGGAGCCCAAAGACUAUCAUAGCUUUCGGACAGAAAUGCAAUAUGCCCUCAAUCUGCAGUUUGAUGAUUUCCCUGAUGAGGAAUCACGAGUGGCUUUUGUGAUUGGGCAUCUUGAAAAGGGGGCGAGAGACUGGGUUAGACCCCUGAUGGCAGCGCAUAGUGACGUCCUAAAGGACACGAUGAAGUUCUUUCGCGCCAUGGAUCUGAUGUUUUCCAGCGAUAUUGAAAAGGGAGUGGUGCGCAGACAGUUAAUGGCUUGCAAACAGGGGAGCCGAUCUGUACGUGAGUACUGGACUGAGUUCACCAUGCUGAUACACAGAUUGGGGUGGGACUUAUCGGCGGAACCCAUUCAAAUGCUCUUUGAAGAAGGGCUUUCUUCGGCUGUGAAAGAUGAACUUUCCCGGGCGCCCAGGGCGGAGUCUAUGGACCAGCUGACCAAAUCAGCGCUGGCCAUAGGAGCGCGCCAGGAGGCGAGAGCAUUGGAGAGGCGGGAAGGGAAAGGGGAACGUUGGAAGGAGUUCCGCAUUCCAGACAUUCCAGAGCCAACUUUCCCGCCGGCAGAGCCGAUGGAAAUCGGAACAGCAGCGCGCGCGCAGUUUCAAAGCCCAGUGAGGGGGGAAAAAAGGAGGGAAAAGGCGCCCGGAAAUGCUAUCUCUGCCAACAGCCAGGGCACUUUGCCAGAGUCUGCCCCCAGAGGAAGGAAUGGCAAGGGAUGGUGGGAGCUGUGGAGGGAAGAGAGGAAAAAUACCGGAGCAACUAAAAGCCAACGCCUGGCUGCCAUUGUCGGGGCACAGCAGCCAGGCCAAAGAGCAGUGAAAGUGCCCACGCCAGAACCUCCUAAACCCGCCCUAGUGAUAGAAGUGACACUAGAGCUGCCAAACGGACACCCUCUAAAGAUAAAGGCGCUGUUGGACUCAGGCAGCUCCUGCAAUUUCAUGAGCAAAGAGUUUGCAGCUGAACACCAGAUACAGACGCUACCUUUAAGCAACCCCCUGCAGGUAACCACGAUCGAUGGCAGGGAGCUGUUGGGAGGAGAAGUCAGCUUGCAGACCGUCCCAAUGAUAAUGAAGGUGGCAAGGCACACCGAACUAAUAGCUUUUAAUGUGGCCACCUUGGGAGGAGCUCCCAUUAUAUUGGGGAUGAGCUGGCUAGCGUUACAUGAUCCGCUGGUGGGCUGGCAUCAAAGAGUGGUUUCUUUUGGGUCAGCACAUUGCUUAGAACACUGCAAAGAGGGAAAGGUUUUGGCAGGGGCCCAAGCCACCCUAGCAGGGACUGAAGUAACGGAGAACGUGAAGGUACCACGACAAUACGCAGAUCUCCGCGACGUCUUCAGCGAAAGGGAAGCUGACCAACUACCACCGCAUAGAGCCUUUGACUGUCAAAUCAAUUUGCUCCCUGGGGCACAGCUCCCUGUGGGCAAGCUGUACGCCAUGUCAGACAGAGAGAUGCAGGAGCUAAGAGAGUUCAUUGACAAGAACCUGAAGAGAGGGUUCAUCAGAGAGUCCAGGGCGGUGGGGGCAGCCCAGUGUUUUUGUGGACAAAAAACACGAACAAGCCGAGACUGGUGUGUGACUUCAGGGCCUUAAAUGCAGUGUCAGAACCAGUGGCCUUCCCGAUGCCCAGGAUUGACGACAUUUUGACAAGGGUGCGGAAGGGAAAGAUUUUCACCAAGCUGGAUCUAAGGGGGGCGUACAACCUGAUACGAAUAAGGAAGGGGGAUGAAUGGAAAACCACCAUGUUCACCCCUUUAGGGGCAUUUGAAUACUUAGUUAUGCCCUUCGGUCUACAAGCAGGCUCCGCAACAUUUCAAUCGUUUAUGAACCACGUCCUGGGGCCGUUGCUUUACAAGAAUUGUGUGGCCUUCUUAGACGACGUGUUGGUGUAUUCUGAGAAUGAGGAGCAGCAUGUGAGAGACGUCAGAGAAGUGUUGAGCAGGCUGCAAGCCAACCAGCUGUGGGUGAAACUGGAGAAGUGUCAGUUUCAUACCAAGGAGGUGGAAUUCCUGGGGUAUCGCCUGUCUGACAAGGGGUUGGCCAUGGAUCCCGGCAAGGUCCAGGCGGUACUGGAAUGGAAAACACCCAAAACAAGGAAGGAUGUGCAGAGGUUUUUAGGAUUUGGGAACUUCUAUCGUAAGUUCAUCCCAAACUUUGCCCACCUGACGGCGCCCAUUACGGACUGUCUCAGCAGUAAGAAGAAGUUCGUUUGGACGGAGGAGGCGGAGCAAGCAUUUGAGGAACUAAAAGGGCCUUCGCCUCAGAACAACAGCUCCUGCAUGUGGAUUUACAAAACCGAUGAGAGUGGAAACUGACGCAUAAUACAUAGCGGUUUGUGCGGUGCUUCUCCAGCCAGGUAAGGAGGAGUCAGAUUGUAGACCGAGUGCUUAAUUUUCGCGAAAGAUCAACAAAUCAGAGAGGAACUACACGGUGUAUGACCGAGAACUACUAGCCAUUCAUGAGGCGUUCCGGAGAUGGAGGCACCUGCUAAUUGGCGCACAACAUAAGGUGCAAGUGUGCACUGACCACAAGAACCUAGAGUAUUGGAGGACGGCACGAGUGCUCAACCAACGGCAAGUGAGGUGGGCCCAGGAAUUCUCCAAAUUUAACUUUGAGAUUUGUUACGUGCCAGGCCCAGAGAACAUUAGGGCGGACGCUCUCUCACGCAAACCUGAAUAUUUGGAGGGGAGGGAGCACCCGAAGAGAGACAUGUCAUUCCAGAGGACCGCUGGGUGUGUGGGGCGGCAUUGGUGGGACAAAGAGAACUGGUAGAAGAAACAGAGAAUGAUGAAUACGCCCAGAAUAAGCUCAGAGGUCUUAGGGAUGAGGGAGAGGAAUCAAGGGGUUUCGAGGAAAGAAAUGGAGCUUUGUAUUACAAAGGGGCACUGUAUAUCCCUGAAGGAGACUUAAGGGGAGGGUACUCAAGCAGUUGCAUGACAGCCCCACGGCAGGGCAUUUUGGGCAACACAAAACCAUGUGGUUGGUCACCAGGGAAUUUUGGUGGCCUAAGGUGAGGGAGGAUGUACGUGAGUAUGUAAGAGGGUGCGAGCAGUGCCAGCGAGCCAAAGGGGAAAGGCGGGCGCCGGCGGGGCUAUUAGAACCCUUACCAACACCAGAACGACCUUGGGAGGCAGUGUCGAUAGAUUUUAUGACUGAUCUGCCGAAGUCCAAAGGGAAAACAGCCAUCAUGGUGGUGGUAGACCUACUAACAAAGAUGUGCCACUUUGUAGCUUGCUCGCAUGCAGUCACGGCGGAAGAGACAGCGAAGUUAUUUGUAGAACACAUUUUUAGGUUGCACGGGGUGCCAUUGAGGGUGGUCUCAGACCGAGGAAAACAAUUUACUUCCAGGUUCUGGAGGAAGCUCAUGAGCUUACUGCAGGUGGAGGUCAACUUUCGACUGCCCGGCACCCUGAAACCAACGGGCAGGCGGAAAGAGCAAACGGUGUCCUCCAGCAAUACCUGAGGUGUUAUGUCAAUGACAGAGAGAAUGACUGGGUAGAAAAGUUGGCGCUGGCGGAAUUUGCCUACAACAAUGCCGAGAAUGUGUCCACAGGGAUGAGCCCCUUCUUGGCUAAUUAUGGGUGUCAUCCCAGGGCUUUCCCAGGGGAGAAGGGGAGAGAUGGAGCGUACCGGCAGCCGAGCAUUUUGUAGAAGAAAUGGAAGCAAUCCACCGUCAGCUCCAACUCAACUUAGAAAGGGCGAAGGAAGAAUACAAGAGGCAGGCAGACAAGAACCGAAGGGAAGGUGAAACCAUAAGGGUUGGAGAUAGGGUGUGGCUGUCAACCCGAGGGUUGCCGCUCAAAGGAGGUUGUAAGAAAUUAAGACCCAGGAGGUUGGGUCCCUUUGAGGUCAUUCAACAGGUCAACCCAGUGGCUUUCAGGCUCCGGUUACCCAACCACAUGAAACUGCACCCAGUAUUUCACAGGUCGUUACUGUCACCGUACGAGGGGGGACGAGAAGGGAUGGCCACUGGGACCGGUCAUAGAAGAAAGAGAAUGCAGCAGUCAUGUGGCAGAAAUCCUUGAUGCCAGGUGGAAGGGGAAUCAGGUGGAGUAUUUGGUAGUGUGGGAAGGAGAACCGGAGUCAGAAAACACGUGGGUAAUGGCCGAAGAUAUCAAUGACGAGGUAUUGAUAGAAACGUUCCAUCAAAGGUUCCCGAGGAAACCUCAGCCUGUGGAGAGGUUCCGGAGGGAAUACUUUGGGACCACUGAGGAGGAGGAGGAGUUGGAAGGAUUCCCAGAAUCGGAAGGGGAAGGGGAGAUGGACUCGGAGGAGGAGGAGUGCUUCGAGACCAGGAACCGCAACAGGUGGAGAGAAGUGUUCGAGACAUCGGAAGAUGAAGGAAGUUCAUUCCGGGGUUUUGCCUCCUCACCGCCGGUAGAGGAGGGGGCGAGAGGGGGUGACGGGGGCCCGGGCGGGGAGGUGGAUGUCAGGGAACUGCCAUCGGAAGGAAGGGAGGUGAAAGGACUCAGACAGGUUGGAAGAGACUCAGCAGCUGAAGAGGGAACCAGCAAGGGGAGAGAAGCUGAACUGAGGGAGGUGAAAGGGCUCAGACAGGUUGGAAGAGACUCAGCAGCUGAAGAGGAAACCAGCAGGGGAGAGAAGCUGAACUGAGGGAAAGGGAGCUGGGGGAUGGCUCAGAGAUACUUCCAGCGAAAACAGUGGUGAGGUUUCCGGACCUCCUGUAGGGACACCCACUCCUCGCCGGAAACUGUCACGCAGAGAGUCCAGAAGACGUGUUUCCGUUAAGGAGCUUUUAUGUUGGAAGCGAUUACGAAAGCAACCACUGUCGGAAUCUUCUAGUGACUAGAGGAGCCAUGUCAGAGGGGCUCCGUCACAGACAGAGGUUUGUGGACUUGAACAAACACUGAGGGAAUACGAUUUUACGCACAAGCAGCUCAUCUUCCCAUCACAAUAUGAAAUGGCCUUUGCUUCUGAUUAUGAGUUACAUUUUACUUAAAAUGCUAGAGGCAUAACAACCCUCUGGAGUGAAGUGAUACGAAAAUACCGGUACUUGUUUUCAAAGUACCUUUUGAGGUUUAUCUCACUUGGUUUGCUGGAAAUGUGCAAGUCCCCAUUUUGCAAGUCACUGAUAUAUACAGGGAGUGUGGCUGGAUUUGUGAAUAUUAGCAAGGACACUCAGAAGUUCCUCUGGGCACAAAUAUUGAAGGAUUAAUGAACUUAAAUGGGCAAUAAUGACAUUUGCUGGUUAGUUUGGCUGCAUACGUAGGGUUAAAUUGCAUUCUCAGGAAAUGUGUCUGUUGCACAUGCAUGCGCUUCACUGUAUGAUCAGGCUACAACAGGUAGUUAUUAAAACACAAACUUUUGGGAUUCCCAAAAAGGGGGAAGGGAGGAAAAGAAGGAAGAAGGGAGCAGGAGCAGGAGGGGGGAAACUGGGAGUCCAAUCUGGAGGGAACCACUGCCUCAGUCCUGGGCGUUGCCUCCCCUCCACUGGGUCUGCGCUCAACCCAGCCCAGCCCAGCUCCAGCCACUGCAGCCACUGCCAGCCCCUCACUGCCCGGCAGGUGGCUCCAGCAGAGGAGGGGACGGGGUGGGGAAAAGCGUUGGGAAGGAGGAGAGAGGCCAGGCAGGCAGGCAGGCCAGGCAACGUGAUCCAUGAAUAGAGGAAACCACCAAAGCCCUUUUGACUCAUGGAGUUGAGUUAUCUAUCCCUGUUCAAUUUCAGGCUUCCUCAUAUUGCCCUGUAGGAUACCCCCACUCAUCUGACUCAAUCAGCACACAAAGAGCAUGAUUCAGGCAGAGUUGUAAUUGUAAACAAGUCUCUCUCUCUCUCUCUCUCUCUCUCUCUCUCUCUCUCUCUCUCUGUGUGUGUGUGUGCGCAAUUGUAAACACUUAUAGCAAAACUGUGUUGUGCAAAACUGUGUUUAAGUUGUCCCUAAGCUCUUAGCAAAUCUUGACUGGCGUGCAGGUACUAAACUGACCAUGAGCUAAAAUCACUGUGAGGACUUUGCCUCAUCUACCUGGGAUUCUGACUCCCCAUAACCUCUUCCGUGUUCCUAUGGGGGUGUGCUCUAAACAUCAGGAAUGUGGUGACUUGGUCUACAGGGCUGCAAUCUGAUGCUUUAAAAUUGAAAUCUGGAUUCUGCAGUUGCAAUGCUUUUGUAAGAACCUAAGAGGAAUCCUGCUCAACAUUCUGUUCUCACAGUCGCCACCCAGAUGCUUAUGGGAAACCCACAAGCAAGGCAUGAGCGGCACUCUUCUUCUUAUGAAGCCCAGCAACUGCUUUCCAGAAGCAUGGGGCCUCUGAGACUGGCCAGAACAUAUAGCCACUAAUAGUGUUAUCCUCUAUGAAUCUAUCUAAUCCCCUUUGGAAGCUGUACAACUUGGCGUCCAUCACUACAGCUUGUGGCAGCAUGUUCUAUACUAUAGCUUAAUCAUGUCCUUCAUUCUGAUAUGCAGUUUUCAUCCAUUUGGCCAGGUUCACGAUUAUAUUCAUUUGGGCAGAUGCACUAUUUCCUACCGCAGCAACCUGUGACAAAAAGGAAAGCAAGACCUGUCAAGGCCUUGACACUGUUGUGUCACCUAAACUCACAAAGGUUCUCUCCAUAGGUGCAAGAACUGGAAAAUAUGGUUCAAAAGCAGUUCUGGGCAGUCCAACUUUGAGCCAUAAGAGCCAUUACUUCAACACAUUGCUGACUUUCUGAGAAGAGCAUGGGAGGGUUCCAGACAGAGCCAGCUCAAGCCAUUUUACAGCCUGAGGUAAAAGGCAAGAUGAAAUACAAGAUGGCUCCCUCCAUUCAACAUACAGAAGCCAACCAGACUGGCAAUUGAACCUUACUUCAACACUGAAGUGAGCAACAGUGUCCUCCACUGCAUCUGAUGGCAACAGGGCUAGCUUAGGGGUGCAGGUCAGGCCAUAUGGUGCACAUAGCUCUGCCCUCCAAGACUUUGCCACCACUCCUUGCUCUCUCCCCUGCCCCCUCCCAGCAUCUGCUGCCUGACUGGGCUGCCUCACUCUGCCUAAUGGUAGGGCCAGACCAGGUUCCAGAGGGAAAAGAUACCCACUUUCCUUAGAGUAGAUUCUCCAUUUCCAGUUAAGAGUUUCACUUUCUACCAUUUUGCUAAAUCCUCUGCAUCCUAGGUAGUACAGGGAGAAGGAAGGACAGCAUUUUUGUGUAAAAUUAAAACAUUGGCUUUGAUCUGGAAAACAUGCUUCCUCCUGGCAAAGGUUGUCUGAAAUCCUGUUUAUAGAACUGUUCUGCACAGCAUCUGUCACAUUUUUUCAAAACUACAAAAUCUGACAGGAAACGCACUUAAACACACACAAACAUAGGAGACAGAAAUGACUUGAAGCUAAUGUGACAGCAAGGAUUGGACAGGUUUUUAAUUGAUCUUGACAGCCCUGACAUCACUGCAUGCCUGAAAGUCUGUGUUACUAAUGGACUGAGUGGCAAGCAAAGUAGGUCAUGAACCCUGGGGCUCUCCACUUGCGAUAACAGAACACGCCCUUCCAUGGGUAGAAACGUAUAUGUGAGCGUGUUUGUGUUUCAAUAUGUACACAUAUUGCAAACAAAAAUAUAAAUUACGGAUUGGAUUCAGGCUAAGUUACUUUGAUUGUUAUUGAAAUCAACAGGACUUAAAAGUCCUGACUUACAGUACUUGUCUCCGUUAUUUCAAGGGGACCUAAGUUCAACUACCUCUGUCUGAUUCCAAACCCAUAUAUAUAUAUAUAUAUUAGUUAGUUUAAGAACAGAGUUAAGGCUAUCUCACAUUGGCUCAAGCAUCAGAAGGCCAGAAAGCUUGAAGCCAAGGCUGAUGGCUGAUGCCUUAACACAGUGGUGUCCAAAUUUUUUCCAAAGCGGGCCAGAUUUGAUGAAGUGAAGGGCCGUGAGGACCGACCAAAGUUGUUAACCUUUUUUGGGGGGAUUGAAGUUGUUGUUGUUUUUUAGGAUUUUACCCCAGGGUAAACUGCCACAGGGGCCAGAUUAAACCAACCGGCGGGCCGGAUUAGACCCCCAAAACGGACUUUGGACAUGCCUGCCUUAACAGCAGUGCCCCAUGGUCAGCAAUGCUGUUGUGAAGUGUCACAAAUUUCACUUGCUUACAACUUACCCAUACUUUUGCUGGGUCUUUCAGGUCCAAACCCAGAUGAGGAGGAUGGAGUGCUCGGGACCAGCAAAGAUUCCCCACACUGUCCUGGCCUUGUAUUGCCUUAUGAAGCACCUGAGCAUUACUUUAUUACUGGAGGAAUUAUCCAGUGGGUUGAACUAUGUCUGUUUAUUGCUUACCUUCUGGGGGGGGGGGGGACACCACACAAGCAAGUCAUAAGCUGCACAAUUGUGGUGUGAGAGUACAGUGGUACAGCUGCAUCUUCUCUGAAGGUAUCUGAAUAAUGAUACCCUUGGAUCAAUGGAUCCAUGAGUGAGUGAUUGGAUCUCAGGCAUCCAACCAAGCACAGCGUGGUCCACGCAGGUGCCUGCCCAAUGGCGGACCUUGGCGUCUGUCUCAAAUUUCAGUGGUGCCCUGUGCAAUGCCAAAAGCCAGCACCCCCCACCUAUUGCCUCCCAUAGGACAUCAUGGUUGUGGUGCCUGCAGUUGCACACCAGAAGCUCUGCACCCGGUGUGACCGAACCCGUCGUGCUCCCCUAAAUCCACCUUUGGAUAUUAGGUGUAGGGGCGCCAGUCAGCUGCUCACUCAACAGUUGGAACAAACAGCUCACAUUUCCAGGUCAGUUUAGCAAUCAGUCUCUCUUCCAAACUCUGGGGAUUGCAGCUCUGUGGGUGGAAAAGAGGUCUCCUGACAACUUUCAGCACCACAAGCUAUAGUUCCCAGGAUUCUCUGGGUGAAGCUCAAAGUGGGAUGAUACUGCUUUAAAUGUAUAGUGCAAAUGGGGCCCUGGACAGACCAUAGGCCCAUCUAAUUCAAUACUGUUGGCACAGACUGGGAGCAGUUUUCCAAGAAAGAGCCUUCCUAGCAGUAUGCGGAGAUGCUGGGAAUUAAAUGUGGCACCUUCUAUGUGCAAAGCAUGUGCUCUGCUGCUUGGGUAUGGACCUCCCCCUACAGCCCUUUCUGCUCUUGUUAACUGGGUAGUGAAGAAAGUUUCCCAGGUCACUCACUUAACAACAUCCUCCCUUACACGUCACUGAAGUAACAGAACUUAAUUCCAGGUACCUGGGCUAGGACAAGGUUGUGAACAGUUAGUACUGUUGGCUAUUACUACUGCACAAAAGAACAUGCUUUAUACUUCUUCCCAAUGCCCCCAAUGCUAAUACCCAAAUCUGCCAUUUCCACUGACUUCAGUUUUCUCCUUCUUCUUCUUCUUCUUCUUCUUCUUCACCAUCAUCAUCUCCAAAGCAGCAUUAACAGGGUUGGAGUGCACAAAGGAGCGGCCAGCCACUAAUGUUUUAUGAAACUCAUAAGCUUCUCUACCUAGGCUGAUUACUUGAGUUGCUUAUUAGUGUUGCACCUGCUAUAAAUGGUACUGAUGGCAAAUUAGAUGGAAAAACAUGCAAAUACCUUGCUAGCUUUCUGGUAAAUUAGCAUGCAAAUGGCAUAAAGGUGAAUAUAGCUUUGAGGAGAAAUGCACUAACAUCAUUUGACUAAUUACUGAAGCAGGGAAAUAAAAAAGAACAUAGAUUUUGGCGAGGGGAUUCCAGUAAACAUCAAUCUACCGAUGCAUCUCACUUUCAUCAGUUCAUCAGAUAAUGCAAAGCAAACAGCUUGUGAUUUGUUUUUUUGAAAAAUGCUGGCGGUGAUAGCCACCUGCAGCCUUUAGAGUCACUAAGGUUCCAGGAAACUUCAAUUAAUAGUUAUUUACUUGCGGGUCCAGUCAGUUUUAUUGCUUCCUGUUGAUGCUGGCUUGGGUAUUAAUGAUAAAUGGUUGUGGGACCUUUGCUGAGCAUCGAGGGAGGAUCCUGGCCAUAAGGAAGGACAUUACUGGAUAGCAAUAAAGUGCUCUGUGGAAUCUGGUUUAAUUCUGCCUCUAGCUCCUUGUGGAAAUACAAUGCCUCAGCAGCCCUAAAGGUCUCUUCUGUGGAAGUAACUCAGUCAACUCUUCUGCUGCUCCAGAACAGAAGCUACUCCCCUCUACACACCCUGACCCUAACCCCAUCUCCCUUCUGCCUAACAUUAAAAUUGAUCUGAGUGCUCCCUUUAAAAAAAACCAAAGAAACAGGUCUUCCUCUCAGGAACAUACUUCAAUCAAAAACAUAUUCUAGACUACCUUUAGAUUUUUGUCCACACAAAAUAUGCAUACAAUAUUUACAAAAAUCUAGAGCUGAAAAGAUUUAUCAGUCACAGAACAAGCAUGAAUCAGUCCUAGCAAGUGUUAUUUUCUUCUAGAAUAUUGUUGCUGCUUAUAACCUCAUUUUCAUUUAUGAAUUGCUCCCUAUGAAGAUUUUUGAAGCAAUGUUUAAAUAGGCUAUGACCUUGUUAUGGCUCUUGUGUGUUUAGCUUGCUUCACUACUGAACUAUGGCUCUUCUCUUGUACGUUAUACAGAACUAAGAAUUAUCCUUUUAAAACUCUUUUCCUUUCAAUAUCACCUUCAGGAGAAGGACUCCUUUAUAGUUUUAGUAUUGUCCCACUUACCUCCCCCUCCCCACCUUUAAUAUUUUUGAUCAGUAUGGCAGAAGAGGCAUAUUCCCCAUUGGUAAAGAACCACAUUAGUGUGUAGGAGAUAAUUCAAAUGUCUUGGAUAUAAAUUAUAUUCAGAAGUAUAAUGUGGAAUGGCUGCUCCUGGACUGAACCACUUCAGACUCUAGGUGGGGUAAAUUGCAGCUUGAAUGCUCCCACCACAUCAGGCAUUGCUUGUCUUUGGAAGCUACCAUUUGACGAUUUGCUUUGUAUUUAAAUAGUGUACUAUUGUUAUGCCUGGCUAGGUUUUUUAUUCAUUUCAUAACUGAGCAGACUGAACAACUGCACUUUGAAGUAAAUUCAGUGCAACCUGUGCCUAGGUAAAGCUGUACAGAAAUUUGGUGGUCAGAUGAUUCAAGGAACACAUUUAUGAUGACACUCUAUUCACCACAGCAAACAAUUCACUUGAAUUCCAUUCUGGUUAAUUUGCAUAUUUUAUCUGCUCCAUCUUGCCCUAAACUAUUGACACAUCCCCUUCCUCCAGUAUUUAGAUUUCCUUGACUCUGUGUCUAAUACUGCACAGGGCUUUUCACCCUUUAGAUCUUGCCAUUUUCUCAGGGUCAAUGCACUUAUCAUUUCAGGCUUGAUAAUUGUGAUUAUAUUCCCCACAGGAGGUAAAAACAGAGAGAUGCUUUGUCACACCAGCAACAUCUACAAGAAGAAAAGCCUGCAAACUGAAUCUAGACAAUAUUACCUAAAGGGCUUUGCAUGAUCCAUUUGCUUUUCACUGAUGAUUUUUAUAUCAUUCUCAUUUAAUAAAUAC
rnacentral:lncRNA from 1 species